CAAUAGCGUAUAUUUAAGUUGUUGCAGUUAAAAAGCUCGUAGUUGGGUUUCGGGUGGGACGCAGCGGUCUCGCAUUGCGUUUGUACUGCUGCAGCCCUCCUUCUUGCCGGGGGCGGCCUCUCGGACUUCACUGUCUGGGGGUCAGAAUCGGCGAUGUUACUUUGAGUAAAUUAGAGUGUUCAAAGCAAGCUUACGCUCUGAAUAUAAUAGCAUGGGAUAACACGACAGGACUCUGGCCUAUCGUGUUGGUCUAUAGGACCAGAGUAAUGAUUAAGAGGGACAGUCGGGGGCAUUCGUAUUCCGUUGUCAGAGGUGAAAUUCUUGGAUUUACGGAAGACGAACAUCUGCGAAAGCAUUUGCCAAGGAUGUUUUCAUUGA
rnacentral:rRNA from 1 species